GUCCCCUUGUCACUCAGUCCCCCUGUUCCAUAGUCUUCUGUCAUGGUCAGUCUGUAUAUUCCCCUGUCCUCCUAAUCCCAUAUUUGUCACUGUCCCUCUCUUUGUCACUGUCACUUGGUCUUCCUAAUUCCCUCUAGCUCUGUCAAUGUCACGCUAUCCACAAUUCCUCUGUCCAUCUAGUUUUGUUGUGUCACUACUCCCCUUUUUUCAGGGCAUUAGGUGGUGAACAUAGUGAAACAGGGCUAGAGCAAAAGACACAAUUUAAUAAUUCGAUCACACAAAAUAUUGAAAUCCUUUAAUGGAAAUUAUUUACUUGUAUUAUG